rnacentral:rRNA from 1 species
AGUGAACGCUGGCGGUAGGCCUAACACAUGCAAGUCGAACGAGUGGCGGACGGGUGAGGAAUACAUCGGAAUCUACUCUGUCGUGGGGGCUACCGUAGGGAAACUUACGCUACUACCGCAUACGAUUCAAUGCGCCGAGGUCGGAUUAGCUAGUUGGCGGGGUAAAGGCCCACCAAGGCGACGAUCCGUAGCUGGUCUGAGAGGAUGAUCAGCCACACUGGAACUGAGACAAGGUCCAGACUCCUACGGGAGGCAGCAGUGGGGAAUAGUGGACAAUGGGCGCAAGCCUGAUCCAGCCAUACCGCGUGGGUGAAGAAGGCCUUCGGGUUGUAAAGCCCUUUUGUUGGGAAAGCGGUACCCAAAGAAUAAGCACCGGCUAACUUCGUGCCAGCAGCCGCGGUAAUAC